AAGAUGAGAGGAAGAGGAGAGAGAAGGAGAAGAAGAGACAAAGAGGGAACAGCUUCGAAGAAACAUUUUGUUGUUGUUUUUGUUUCUUCUCUCUCUUUCUCUCUCUUUCUCUCU
rnacentral:ribozyme from 13 species